GGUGUGACUGCGUACCUUUUGUAUAAUGGGUCAGCGACUUAUAUUCUGUAGCAAGGUUAACCGUAUAGGGGAGCCGCAGGGAAACCGAGUCUUAACUGGGCGUUAAGUUGCAGGGUAUAGACCCGAAACCCGGUGAUCUAGCCAUGGGCAGGUUGAAGGUUGGGUAACACUAACUGGAGGACCGAACCGACUAAUGUUGAAAAAUUAGCGGAUGACUUGUGGCUGGGGGUGAAAGGCCAAUCAAACCGGGAGAUAGCUGGUUCUCCCCGAAAGCUAUUUAGGUAGCGCCUCGUGAACUCAUCUUCGGGGGUAGAGCACUGUUUCGGCUAGGGGGUCAUCCCGACUUACCAACCCGAUGCAAACUACGAAUACCGAAGAAUGUUAUCACGGGAGACACACGGCGGGUGCUAACGUCCGUCGUGAAGAGGGAAACAACCCAGACCGCCAGCUAAGGUCCCAAAGUCAUGGUUAAGUGGGAAACGAUGUGGGAAGGCACAGACAGCCAGGAUGUUGGCUUAGAAGCAGCCAUCAUUUAAAGAAAGCGUAAUAGCUCACUGGUCGAGUCGGCCUGCGCGGAAGAUGUAACGGGGCUAAACCAUGCACCGAAGCUGCGGCAGCGACACUAUGUGUUGUUGGGUAGGGGAGCGUUCUGUAAGCCUGCGAAGGUGACCUGUGAGGGUUGCUGGAGGUAUCAGAAGUGCGAAUGCUGACAUAAGUAACGAUAAAGCGGGUGAAAAGCCCGCUCGCCGGAAGACCAAGGGUUCCUGUCCAACGUUAAUCGGGGCAGGGUGAGUCGACCCCUAAGGCGAGGCCGAAAGGCGUAGUCGAUGGGAAACAGGUUAAUAUUCCUGUACUUGGUGUUACUGCGAAGGGGGGACGGAGAAGGCUAUGUUAGCCGGGCGACGGUUGUCCCGGUUUAAGCAUGUAGGCUGGUUAUCCAGGCAAAUCCGGAUAAUCAAGGCUGAGGUGUGAUGACGAGGCACUACGGUGCUGAAGUAACAAAUGCCCUGCUUCCAGGAAAAGCCUCUAAGCAUCAGGUAACAUCAAAUCGUACCCCAAACCGACACAGGUGGUCAGGUAGAGAAUACCAAGGCGCUUGAGAGAACUCGGGUGAAGGAACUAGGCAAAAUGGUGCCGUAACUUCGGGAGAAGGCACGCUGGUGUGUAGGUGAAGUCCCUGCGGAUGGAGCUGAGACCAGUCGAAGAUACCAGCUGGCUGCAACUGUUUAUUAAAAACACAGCACUGUGCAAACACGAAAGUGGACGUAUACGGUGUGACGCCUGCCCGGUGCCGGAAGGUUAAUUGAUGGGGUUAUCCGUAAGGAGAAGCUCUUGAUCGAAGCCCCGGUAAACGGCGGCCGUAACUAUAACGGUCCUAAGGUAGCGAAAUUCCUUGUCGGGUAAGUUCCGACCUGCACGAAUGGCGUAAUGAUGGCCAGGCUGUCUCCACCCGAGACUCAGUGAAAUUGAACUCGCUGUGAAGAUGCAGUGUACCCGCGGCAAGACGGAAAGACCCCGUGAACCUUUACUAUAGCUUGACACUGAACAUUGAGCCUUGAUGUGUAGGAUAGGUGGGAGGCUUUGAAGCGUGGACGCCAGUCUGCGUGGAGCCAACCUUGAAAUACCACCCUUUAAUGUUUGAUGUUCUAACGUNAUCGGGGUUGCGGACAGUGUCUGGUGGGUAGUUUGACUGGGGCGGUCUCCUCCCAAAGCGUAACGGAGGAGCACGAAGGUUAGCUAAUCCUGGUCGGACAUCAGGAGGUUAGUGCAAUGGCAUAAGCUAGCUUGACUGCGAGCGUGACGGCGCGAGCAGGUGCGAAAGCAGGUCAUAGUGAUCCGGUGGUUCUGAAUGGAAGGGCCAUCGCUCAACGGAUAAAAGGUACUCCGGGGAUAACAGGCUGAUACCGCCCAAGAGUUCAUAUCGACGGCGGUGUUUGGCACCUCGAUGUCGGCUCAUCACAUCCUGGGGCUGAAGUAGGUCCCAAGGGUAUGGCUGUUCGCCAUUUAAAGUGGUACGCGAGCUGGGUUUAGAACGUCGUGAGACAGUUCGGUCCCUAUCUGCCGUGGGCGCUGGAGAAUUGAGGGGGGCUGCUCCUAGUACGAGAGGACCGGAGUGGACGCAUCACUGGUGUUCGGGUUGUCAUGCCAAUGGCACUGCCCGGUAGCUAAAUGCGGAAGAGAUAAGUGCUGAAAGCAUCUAAGCACGAAACUUGCCCCGAGAUGAGUUCUCCCUGAGACUAUAAGUCUCCUGAAGGAACGUUGAAGACGACGACGUUGAUAGGCCGGGUGUGUAAGCGCAGCGAUGCGUUGAGCUAACCGGUACUAAUGAACCGUGAGGCUUAACCUU
rnacentral:rRNA from 2 species